rnacentral:rRNA from 1 species
AUACGGAGGGUGCGAGCGUUGUUCGGAAUUAUUGGGCGUAAAGAGCAUGUAGGCGGUCUGUUAAGUCUGGUGUGAAAGCCCGGGGCUCAACCCCGGAAGUGCAUUGGAUACUGGCGGACUUGAGUAUGGGAGAGGAAAGCGGAAUUCCGAGUGUAGGAGUGAAAUCCGUAGAUAUUCGGAGGAACACCAGUGGCGAAGGCGGCUUUCUGGACCAAUACUGACGCUGAGAUGCGAAAGCGUGGGGAGCGAACAGGAUUAGAAACCCCAGUAGUCC